rnacentral:lncRNA from 1 species
AGAAGACACUUGAGGCUGUGAGGAUGGAUGAGAUGGCCAGAGGCAGCCUGUAAGAGGCUGGAGAUGAGGGCCUGCCUGUCGCCAGAACCCGGGAGUAUCUUCUACCCAACAGCAGAGUAGAAUGAGCCUGCAGUAGGCCCCAUCAACACACUUUGUGUCUUUCUCAUGAUCGUCUUGGCAACUUAAGAGCAGAAAAAAUAGAUAAGAGGCAGCAGAGUUGGGGACUGAUGUGGAGACAAUGGCUAGGAGGGAGAGCUGGAAUUGACCUGGAUCCUUGUGGGAAAUACUUCAGUGAUGGAUGGAAGCAGAGGGAGAAAGGACCAAAAUGAAGCCAGGAGGGACAAGAUGGCUGGAAUGUUUGGUUCUGAGGAUUCAUGAUUGUCCUUAACUCACACGGACUGAACUCUCGCUUGCCUGUCUUCCUGGGGCUUGUGUAAGAACAUCCUGCAGAAAAGUAUUAACAACGCGAGUGAUCUUCACUGUGUUUAACGAUUCAUUGAUUGUAAAAGAUGUUUUACCUGGGAUAACAAUGAGUGUGUAUUCCUGGAGCCUAAACUCACUGACCUGGAAGGGGGCCCCGAGAAGUGUGCUAAGUGGACAAAGGAAGCCUGGCUAGAGUUUAUAGUUUUCUAACUAGAUAAUUGAGUGAACUAAAAGGUCUUUUAUUAUCCUUAUGUGGAUUACGUACUUUGCAGGAUAUGCAUAGUCAUUAUUAAAACCAUGUGUACUCCUGUCUCACUUCUGAGCACCUUCUCUGAAAUCAGUCCAUAUAUGCUCAGGAAUGCAAACCACACUCAUUUCAGAGUCAGUGUCAACAAACAUAAUUAAGGAGGCAAAUUUACUUCAUAAGUUUUCUAAUGCCUUCUGCAUUAAAUAGAAAUGACUUUUGGCUGCUCCCAUCUAUUCAUGUGUAUAAUUGUUAAGUUCAGAUCUGAUUUUCCUGGAAGAACAAGUUUGAAUCUCAACAGGCUUGAUCUAGUCUCCCAUCUCCAUGUUCCCCAUAGUGACAGGUAAUUCAUGGAAAUUACUGUCUCAGCAUUUUAAAUAAACCUCCUUUAAGCUGAAAUCAAGAUGAUCUCAUAUAGAAAAGAGUGUAGGUAAAACUCAUAUUUAAGAAAUGGUACAGAGUGAGCAGAAAUUCUCACAGAAUUUUUGAGUCAGAAAUAUUUUUGUUAUACGGGAAAAAGGGACUUGCAGUUGUGCUCUUGAUUAUAAAAAGAAAGGAAAUCAAAUAGCUUUGAAAUGUUCCAUUAAAACCUUAUUUUAAUAUAUUCUUGCCACAAUGUAAGGACCUAUGUAAACUAAGUAAAAUUUCAUGACUCACACUGAGUUGCAUUUUGUAUCAUUUUCUUGUCUUCAUUGCUAUUUCUUUUCUUUUCUUUUUUUUUUUUUUUUCUCGAGACAGAGUCUCACUUUGUUGCCAGGCUGGAGUGCAGUAGCGUGAUCUCAGCUGACUGCAAUCUCCACCUCCCAGGUUCAAG